rnacentral:rRNA from 1 species
AACGAACGUUGGCGGCGUGGCUUAGGCAUGCAAGUCGAACGAGAAAGUUUCCUUCGGGGAGCGAGUAUAGUGGCAAAAGGGUGAGUAAUGAUUAGUUAACCUACCCCUAAAACUAGGGAUAACUACCCGAAACGGGUUGCUAAUACCGGAUGGUCUAUGAGAGAUGCAUAUCUUUUAUUAGUAAAGGCGCUCGCAAGGGUGUCGAUUAGGGAGGGGAUUAAUUCCUAUUAGCUAGUUGGUGAGGUAAUGGCUCUACCAAGGCAUUGAUGGGUAACCGAUCUGAGAGGAUGACCGGUCACACUGGGACUGAGACACUGCCCAGACUCCUACGGGAGGCUGCAGUCGCGAAUAUUCCGCAAUGGACGCAAGUCUGACGGAGCGACGCCGCGUGUGGGAUGAAGGCCUUAGGGUUGUAAACCACUGUCACACUUUAAGAAAUCAAUUAGGGUAACUCCUAGUUGUUGACAAAGGAGUGGAAGGAAGUCACGGCUAACUACGUGCCAGCAGCCGCGGUAAGU